AAUUGUUUCCCUUUGAAAUCAACACGCCAUUAUCGAUGGAUACAUGUCUGAAACUGGGUCAGAGAAUACAUGCAGUUAUUGCUCUGAAUAUACGCGGAUAUUUAAAGUGCAUGGCGGAUUUAAUAAUUGUUGUGGAUAACCUCCAGCAGUAAGAAAUAUAAAGGCUCACUGCAGUUUUGAGUGCUCAACAAGUAUUGACCCCAUACUAUGCUCAGCAAGUAGGGCCCUUGUAUUUCUGUGAAUCCUCAUGCAGUACAGUACUGCUGUUGGAAGAGGAGCAAACAGUGUGGUAUCUAUGGUCCACCAUCACUUCAAGCAUCAUGGCUAUGGAGAAAAGAAUGUUUCAUUACAUAUGGACAAUUAUAGUGGACAAAAUAGGAAAAGUGUUGUAAUAAGCUAUGGAAUGUGGCUUGUUAUGAUGGGUCUACAUGAUGACUUGGAGUACAACCUGAUUGAGGCCCGGCAUACAGAAUUCAGUCCUGAACAUGUUUAGAAUGUCUUCUGCAUGACCUGGUAUAGAUAGUAUUCUUGAAGGAUUAUAACUUCAACACAGAGACGGAGAUUAAUAUUUUAGGCAGGGAGUUUGGCAUGACAGGCAAAUUCACCAACCGUAUUAUCAUUCCUGAGCUGGAUGCCAGUCGACAGUGGUACCUGUAUAAUGAAAUAGCGCCCCUUUGCAGCAACAGCAAUGUAUGCUCAAAACCAGCAGUGUCAAAGCCAUUAAAAUUGAUAAUUCAAGUCAUUUAAAACGAAGAAUGAAUGGAAAAAAGUGUUUAACAUUUAAAGUAAUACAGAGAAAGAGCUCUGAAAUUUUGAUUAAUUUGAAAGUGUUUUUGAUUUUUUGAAGAUGUACUAGACCCAAAUUCCAUAUAUUUGAAAAAGAACAAAUGAUACAUAUAGUUUAUGUAAACAUUGAACUAACAACUUUAUGGUGUCAACAGUACUAUGCAUUUGUUAAAUAUUGACUCACUAUAUACAUGUAAGGCUGAACACAGUAUAAAUGUGAAAUUCCUCUAAAACACUGGAGGAUUUUUCAACAAUAAUUGUAACAUAUAUGGUAGUAAUGUACAUUUGUUUUCAU